rnacentral:tRNA from 1 species
UAAGGUGUGGCUCAGUGGUAGAGCACUCGCCUGGCAUGUGUGAGGCACUAAGUUUGAUCCUCAGCACCAUAU